CCUACGGGAGGCUGCAGUGGGGGAUAUUGCACAAUGGGGGAAACCCUGAUGCAGCGACGCCGCGUGAGGGAAGACGGUCUUCUGGAUUGUAAACCUCUGUCUUCGGGGACGAUAAUGACGGUACCCGAGGAGGAAGCCACGGCUAACUACGUGCCAGCAGCCGCGGUAAUACGUAGGUGGCAAGCGUUGUCCGGAAUUACUGGGUGUAAAGGGAGCGUAGGCGGGAAUGCAAGUUGAAUGUUUAAUCUAUGGGCUCAACCCAUAUCAGCGUUCAAAACUGUGUUUCUUGAGUGAAGUAGAGGCAGGCGGAAUUCCUAGUGUAGCGGUGAAAUGCGUAGAUAUUAGGAGGAACACCAGUGGCGAAGGCGGCCUGCUGGGCUUUUACUGACGCUGAUGCUCGAAAGUGCGGGGAGCAAACAGGAUUAGAUACCCGGGUAGUC
rnacentral:rRNA from 1 species